GAUGAACGCUAGCUACAGGCUUAACACAUGCAAGUCGAGGGGCAGCAUGAACAAAGCUUGCUUUGUUUGAUGGCGACCGGCGCACGGGUGCGUAACACGUAUCCAAUCUGCCCGCGGCUCGGGGAUAGCCCAUCGAAAGAUGGAUUAAUACCCGAUGGCGUGGUUUCUCCGCAUGGAGUUUCCACUAAAGGUUUUCCGGCCGCGGAUGAGGAUGCGUAUGAUUAGGUAGUAGGCGGGGUAACGGCCCACCUAGCCUUCGAUCAUUAGGGGUUCUGAGAGGAAGGUCCCCCACACUGGAACUGAGACACGGUCCAG
rnacentral:rRNA from 1 species